GAUGAAGAACGCAGCGAAAUGCGAUACAUGGUGUGAAUUGCAGAAUCCCGUGAACCAUCGAGUCUUUGAACACAAGUUGCGCCUCAAGCCAUUAGGUUGAGGGCACGUCUGCCUGGGCGUCACAUAUCGUUGCCUGAUGCCAGUUUCCUCGUGAUGGGUGACUGUGCAGGGCGAAUGAUGGCUUCCCGUGAGCAUUGUUGCCUCAUGGUUGGUUGAAAAUUGAGUCCUUGGUAGGGAGCGCCGUGAUAGAUGGUGGUUGAGUGACGAACGAGACCCAAUCAUGUGAGACCCCUACCGAAUUUGGCCUUCAUGACCCACAUGCGUCUUUGGAACGCUCAUGACGAGACCUCAGGUCAGGCGGGGCUACCCGCUGAGUUUAAGCAUAUCAAUAAGCGGAGGA
rnacentral:misc_RNA from 1 species